rnacentral:rRNA from 1 species
AGUGAACGCUGGCGGCAGGCCUAACACAUGCAAGUCGAGCGGCAGCGCGGGUAGCAAUACCUGGCGGCGAGCGGCGGACGGGUGAGGAAUACAUCGGAAUCUGCCUUGUUGUGGGGGAUAACGUAGGGAAACUUACGCUAAUACCGCAUAAGACCGUAAGGUGAAAGCGGGGGAUCGAAAGACCUCGCGCGACAAGAUGAGCCGAUGUCGGAUUAGCUAGUUGGCGGGGAAUGGCCCACCAAGGCGACGAUCCGUAGCUGGUCUGAGAGGAUGAUCAGCCACACUGGAACUGAGACACGGUCCAGACUCCUACGGGAGGCAGCAGUGGGAAUAUUGGACAAUGGCGCAAGCCUGAUCCAGCCAUGCC